rnacentral:rRNA from 13 species
ACGCGAGCUGGGUUCAGAACGUCGUGAGACAGUUUGGUCUCUAUCCUCUGCGCUCGUUGGAAUCCUGAGGAGGCCUGCCCAUAGUACGAGAGGACCUGGGUGGACGAACCUCUGGUAUGCCAGUUGUCGCGCCAGCGGCAUGGCUGGUUGGCCACGUUCGGGAGGGAUAACCGCUGAAAGCAUCUAAGCGGGAAGCCCGCUCCAAG